rnacentral:rRNA from 1 species
CCUACGGGUGGCAGCAGUGGGGGAUAUUGCACAAUGGGGGGAACCCUGAUGCAGCGACGCCGCGUGGGCGAUGGAGUGCUUCGGCAUGUAAAGCCCUAUCAGCAGGGAAGAAAAUGACGGUACCUGACUAAGAAGCCCCGGCUAAAUACGUGCCAGCAGCCGCGGUAAUACGUAAGGGGCAAGCGUUAUCCGGAUUUACGGGGUGUAAAGGGGCGGUAGGCGGCCUGGCAAGGCCGAUUGAGAAUGCCCGGGUCCAACCCCGGGGCUGCAGUGGAAACUGCCAGGCUGGAGUGCGAGAGAGGCAGGCGGAAUUCCUAGUGUAGCGGUGAAAUGCGUAGAUAUUAGGAGGAACACCGGUGGCGAAGGCAGCAUGCUGGACCGAGACUGACGCUGAGGCUCGAAAGCGUGGGGAGCAAACAGGAUUAGAUACCCCUGUAGUC